CGCAUCUGUGCAUGCAGCAUAUCAAUAAGCGGAGGAAAAGAAACUAACAAGGAUUCCCUUAGUAACGGCGAGUGAAGCGGGAAGAGCUCAAAUUUGAAAUCUUCAAGGUUUUACCUUGACGAAUUGUAGUUUAAAGAAGUGUUUCUCUGUUGAAGUUUUGGUAAAAGUUCUUUGGAAUAGGACAUCAUAGAGGGUGGAGAAUCCCGUAUUUGACCAUUAUUUUCAGCUGUGUGAUACACUUUCAAAGAGUCGGAUUGUUUGGGAAUGCAGUCCAAAAUGGGUGGUAAAUUUCAUCUAAAGCUAAAUAUUGGCGAGAGACCGAUAGCGAACAAGUACCGUGAGGGAAAGAUGAAAAGAACUUUGAAAAGAGAGUUAAACAGUACGUGAAAUUGUCAAAAGGGAAGCGUUUGACACCAGUGUUGUUUUCUCGAAAAUCAAUUAAAAAGAGUUUAGAUUUUGUUGUGUAUUGACCUUAACAGCUUACAUUUCAAUUUUCUUGCUUUUUUUAAUGCACUUUUCGUUUAACAAGUCAACAUCAGUUUCUUUUGUUGUAAAAAGGUCAUUGGAAGGUGGCUUUCUUUUCGGAGAAAGUGUUUAUAGCCUUUGACUCCUGCAAUCGGAGAGACUGAGGUCUGCAGCGUAGAUCCUUCGGGGUUAGAUACAUUUGUGCUAAGUUAUAGCUUUUUAUAGACAACUUGUUGACUAUGAUUAGUCUUGUAGCUUACUCGCUUAUGCUAUUUUACCUACGCUUAGGAUGUUGACACACGCGCGUGCUCG
rnacentral:rRNA from 1 species